rnacentral:rRNA from 1 species
CAGUAGCCGCGGUAAAACGAAGGGGGCUAGCGUUGUUCGGAAUUACUGGGCGUAAAGCGCACGUAGGCGGACAUUUAAGUCAGGGGUGAAAUCCCGGGGCUCAACCCCGGAACUGCCUUUGAUACUGGGUGUCUAGAGUAUGGAAGAGGUGAGUGGAAUUCCGAGUGUAGAGGUGAAAUUCGUAGAUAUUCGGAGGAACACCAGUGGCGAAGGCGGCUCACUGGUCCAUUACUGACGCUGAGGUGCGAAAGCGUGGGGAGCAAACAGGAUUAGAUACCCCUGUAGUCCCUGUCUCUUAUAC